UCACCUUUUAUAAGAAAGAGUCAAAAUAUCGUGCAAUCAUGGAACACAACUUCAUCGUCGCAACAUAACACCGACGCUUUGCAAACGUCGCACUGAAUCAUGAGACUCUAAACUGGCGAAAGCUACGGAGGGAACAACUCUGAGUUUGAGGACAUAGAGUGUCUUGGUAUGGUUUCCGAUUAUCUGGUUUUGAAUUCACAAAGGGCCUCUUGAAUGAGGAUCAUAAGAACCAAGACGAGAGAAGUUGUUGUCGUUGUAAACGAACCAUAAACGAAGUAGCAUAAAGUAUUUCAAAGGCCAAACAAAAAGUCUCAGAUUUUGUAUACUGUAUUUUUAAUAAAAAUUUAAGCAAAAUCCAUUAAAAUUCAAUUCUAAUAAAAAAAGCCACUGGAUAUUGAGUAACAACGGUUUCCACUUGAUUUUAAUUCACUUACAUCAAAUACCAAAUUGAAUAACAGUGGAUUUUAAUCCAUUUUCAUCAAAUACCUAAUUGAAUAACGAAAAUUUACGUUGGGAGACACUUUCUAAGUUCUCAAUUACCUUAAUAGACAUAUUCAACAUAGAAGACAAUUUCCCCUUACAAAUUUACCAAGCUGACCUCCAACUAAUAGGUCUCUCUUUUUAGUUAGACUUUCUAACUAUGUAAAUAUAUAAACGAUUUUCGAAAUUUAAAACAAAUUAAAUUAAAAUAUCUUCUCCGUUAAAAACAACUUGUUGUGGUUAUCUCUUCAGUUUCAAACCAAAUCUCCAAAUCGAGAAAAGUCUGCUAUGACGAAACCCUAACCCCUUUUCGCCUAUUUCUCCGCUUCUGCCGCUUUGUCCGCCUCAGCCGUUGUGUUCGUUUUUACCGAUUUGGUUCACAGACAAUCUCCGACAUGAAGACACAAAACGCUGCGUUUGACUGCAGUUGUGGUCGUGGACAUGAAGCUUUGGAUGUUUGCUGGAUGCGUGUGCAUAUCUUAUAGUUGUGGAAGUGGACAUAUAUCGGUGGAUGGUUAAUGAUAGUAGUGGCUGUUCGUGUGUAUAUGUAAUAGUUGUGGUCGUGGAUAUGUAGUGGUGGAUUGUUAAUGAUAUUAGGUUGUGGUGCUGGAUUCGUGUGUAUAUCUAAUGGUUGCGGUCGUGUACAUAUAGUUAUGGAUGGAUAACAAUAUCAAUUUUGAUCGUGUGUAUAUAGCUAAUAGUUGUGGUCGUGGACAUGUAGCGAUAGAUGAUUAAUAAGAUUGAAAAAGUUAUAUCCACUCUUUACAGUGAUGGAAGUUUCUAAGCCAUUAGAUCUUCUAAUUAUAAGCUAAUACAACAUCCCAAACACAAUCCCAAAAACCCAUAUACCUACUUUUCAAUUCCAAACUUUCAUUUAUUGCAACAAGAAAAGAAUCUGGUUCUCUUAUGGUUGCCUCUUUAAAAGCAACAUUAUCUCACUUACACAAGUGGAUGGAUAUUUUGGUCCAGAAUGAUACAGUUGUCACAACAGUGUCCAAAUCCACAAUGUGUCUUCUACAGCAAACAAAACUCAUAAAGUGUCCUUUUGUGUAACCUUCUUUUGAAUAACACUGGAUUCCAAUUCAGAUUUACAUUCCAUUUACAUGGCAUAGCUCACAUAUUGUAAUGAUUUUUUAUUAAUAUAUAAGAGAUUACAUUGUCAAUUAGUUCAAGUUUCCCUUAAUUAAAUUAAAGAUUAUUGAAAAACAAAACUUAUCUAAAAUUUAAUUAUUAUAUAAAACAAAGUAACCAAAUAUCUCAGCCAACAUUACCUUAUUGUAUGUAUAUAAUGAGUCUAUAUAGAGUCCCUCUUCUUCCACAUUAGCUUCCAUCAUAACUCUUAUCUCUCUAUCUUUCUCGGGAACAUAUAAUAAUCUUUCUAACUCUCUUGAAAAAUGAAAUACUCUUGGUGUUUUGUCUCAUCCAUUCUCGUGAUUUCUUUCAUGCUUUUCUUUGCCACAGAGAUGGAUCUGGUGGAAGCAAAAACUCACGAGGAAAAAAGCAAGACUUACAGACGUUUAUGCGUGGACGAAACAGGAUGCAACCAUGCAUGCAUUUUUAAUGAGCAUUUCGCAGGAGGUCAUUGCCGACACUUAGAAUGUUUCUGUUUUCGCUAAUACUUAUGAUGUAAUUCUUCAUCAUGUUAAUUACUCUAAAAACAUAUAAUAUUCUAUCUUAUCUCUUAUAUCCUUGUUAACUGGUUAUUGAGAAUAUAUGUUUGGUUAA